rnacentral:lncRNA from 1 species
UGCUGUGCGUCGGCCUCGGCCAUUCUUCGCGGCGCUUGGAGCCCUGCUCUUUCCUUCUAAAGGCUCUCACACUUUGCCCGCUCUGCUACCCUGUCCAGUCGGAAUUGGAGGAAGGAAGCCCUAAUACGGAGGGCACCUUUCUUCACUGGGGAAUGUAUAAUGUACAAAAUAGAAGACUGCCUCAAGAAGAAAGGAGAGAUGGAGAAAGCUGAGCAGUAGCUGAAAGAGAAUGUAAGGUCUAGAAAAUGGAGAUUGGCACCAUCCAAUUCAUUUAUUGUAAGUGAAAAUAAUUGUUAAUAAUUGGAAAUGCAGUGGGACAUGAUGGCUUAUGCCUGUAGUCCCAGCACUUUGGGAGGCUGAGGCCUGAGGAUCUCUUCAGACCAGGAGUUUGAGACCAGCCUAGGCAACACAGAGAAACUCUGUCUCUACAAAAAAUAAAAAAUUAGUCCAGG